AGCGGGAUCAUUGCUUCUGUUCCAUAGGCUAAGUUGAAGAGAGAUUCCUCCGUUGGGACACGAGGCGUCGUCCGAUAGGCCCAUAGGACGGAGUUCAAUUCUUCGACCCAUAGGCCUUUGGCUUCAUUUAGUCGGGUCUUUAGUCCAUGUAGAAUGGUCCGGUUGGUCACCUCGACCUCGUCGUUGGACUGUGGAUGCCUGACCGAGGUCAGUCGGUGCGCGAUAUGAAACCUCGCACAGAAGUCUCUGAAGUCCUGGUUGU
rnacentral:lncRNA from 1 species